GACGAACGCUGGCGGCGUGCUUAACACAUGCAAGUCGAACGAGGCCCCUUCUUCGGGAGGGUGUCCUAGUGGCGAACGGGUGAGUAACACGUGGGCAACCUGCCCCCGGCUCGGGGAUAACCCCAAGAAAUUGGGGCUAGUACCGGAUACGACCGCUGACCGCAUGGUCCGGUGGUGGAAAGAUUUAUCGGCUGGGGAUGGGCCCGCGGCCUAUCAGCUUGUUGGUGGGGUAGUGGCCUACCAAGGCGACGACGGGUAGCCGGCCUGAGAGGGUGACCGGCCACACUGGGACUGAGACACGGCCCAGACUCCUACGGGAGGCAGCAGUGGGGAAUAUUGCGCAAUGGGCGGAAGCCUGACGCAGCGACGCCGCGUGGGGGAUGACGGCCUUCGGGUUGUAAACCUCUUUCAGCAGGGACGAAGCGCAAGUGACGGUACCUGCAGAAGAAGCACCGGCCAACUACGUGCCAGCCGCCGCAGUAAAAC
rnacentral:rRNA from 1 species